rnacentral:rRNA from 1 species
CCUACGGGAGGCAGCAGUGAGGAAUAUUGGUCAAUGGCCGGAAGGCUGAACCAGCCAAGCCGCGUGAAGGACGAAGGUGCCAAGCAUUGUAAACUUCUUUUGUCCAGGGACAAAAUCAGGCUCGAGAGCCUGACCGAGGGUACUUGACGAAAAAGCAUCGGCUAACUCCGUGCCAGCAGCCGCGGUAAUACGGAGGAUGCGAGCGUUAUCCGGAUUUAUUGGGUUUAAAGGGUGCGUAGGCGGACUGUUAAGUCAGCGGUAAAAGCCCGGGGGUAAACCCCGGCGAGCCGUUGAAACUGGUGGUCUUGAGAGGACGAGAGGUAUGCGGAAUGCGUGGUGGAGCGGUGAAAUGCUUAGAUAU